rnacentral:misc_RNA from 1 species
GCAAACUUGGUCAUUUAGAGGAAGUAAAAGUCGUAACAAGGUUUCCGUAGGUGAACCUGCGGAAGGAUCAUUAACAAAUCCUGGAUUGUUGCAUGGGUGCACGUGUCUCCUUCGAUUCGUGCAUCCUCGACAAUACACACGUUCCAUGUGCAUUCAUUUGUGCAUGCCAACAUUUCUACGAAUCGUCUGAUUGUCACGUUGAUCUAAUUACAAAGACUUUUAACAAUGGAUCUCUAGGCUCUUGCAUCGAUGAAGAACGCAGC